rnacentral:rRNA from 1 species
GAUGAACGCUGGCGGCGUGCCUAAUACAUGCAAGUCGAGCGAACAGACGAGGAGCUUGCUCCUCUGACGUUAGCGGCGGACGGGUGAGUAACACGUGGAUAACCUACCUAUAAGACUGGGAUAACUUCGGGAAACCGGAGCUAAUACCGGAUAAUAUAUUGAACCGCAUGGUUCAAUAGUGAAAGACGGUUUUGCUGUCACUUAUAGAUGGAUCCGCGCCGCAUUAGCUAGUUGGUAAGGUAACGGCUUACCAAGGCGACGAUGCGUAGCCGACCUGAGAGGGGGAUCGGCGACACUGGAACUGAGACACGGUCCAGACGCCUACGGGAGGCAGCAGUAGGGAAUCUUCCGCAAUGGGCGAAAGCCUGACGGAGCAACGCCGCGCGAGUGAUGGAGGUCUUCGGAUCGUAAAACUCUGUUAUUAGUGAAGAACAAAUGUGUAAGUAACUAUGCACGUCUUGACGGUACCUAAUCAGAAAGCCACGGCUAACUACGUG